UAGGGAAUCUUCGGCAAUGGACGAAAGUCUGACCGGGCAACGCCGCGUGAGUGAAGAAGGUUUUCGGAUCGUAAAACUCUGUUGUUAGAGAAGAACAAGGACGUUAGUAACUGAACGUCCCCUGACGGUAUCUAACCAGAAAGCCACGGCUAACUACGUGCCAGCAGCCGCGGUAAUACGUAGGUGGCAAGCGUUGUCCGGAUUUAUUGGGCGUAAAGCGAGCGCAGGCGGUUUCUUAAGUCUGAUGUGAAAGCCCCCGGCUCAACCGGGGAGGGUCAUUGGAAACUGGGAGACUUGAGUGCAGAAGAGGAGAGUGGAAUUCCAUGUGUAGCGGUGAAAUGCGUAGAUAUAUGGAGGAACACCAGUGGCGAAGGCGGCUCUCUGGUCUGUAACUGACGCUGAGGCUCGAAAGCGUGGGGAGCAAACAGG
rnacentral:rRNA from 1 species